ensembl:lncRNA
UUGGUGAGGGACAACAACAGUGACAGCUCAUCAGGCGGAUGCAGUCCUGCACCGGGUCUUCAUGGGGGGUCCCAUGAACAUAUCGAGGCAGUGUUGCUGUUGUGACACAAUGCAACCCCCGGAAAAGGAUGAACGUUCACAGCAAAAAAGACUCAGCCUUCAUCCAACGACUACCAGAGACACCCACCACAUCUUUAGGACGCGUGCUUAAGAGGGUGAUACAACAUGUCAGUAAUUUCUCAGAAUUCCAGCCCAUUUUUUUUUGGAAUGUAACAAAUAUGUCUAUGUUAUGUCUUUAAAUAUGUAACCACUGCUGUUCUCAGUGUGCGAGUAAGGAAUUAUCCCCCUCACACAUGGUGCCACAAUAAAUA